GGAAAGGUGGCCGAGUGGUUGAAGGCGCACGCCUGGAACGCGUGUAUACGGGGUAACUCGUAUCGGGGGUUCGAAUCCCCCUCUUUCCGCCA
rnacentral:tRNA from 1 species